rnacentral:rRNA from 1 species
AUUGAACGCUGGCGGCAUGCUUUACACAUGCAAGUCGAACGGCAGCGCGGGCUUCGGCCUGGCGGCGAGUGGCGAACGGGUGAGUAAUGCAUCGGAACGUGCCCAGUAGUGGGGGAUAGACCGGCGAAAGCCGGAUUACUACCGCAUCAGACCUGGGGGUGAAAGCGGGGGACCGAAAGGCAUCGCGCAAUUGGAGCGGCCGAUUUCUGUUUAGCUAGUUGGUGGGGUAAGGGCUUACCAAGGCGACGAUCGUUAGCUGGUCGGAGAGGACGACCGGCCACACUGGGACUGAGACACGGCCCAGACUCCUACGGGAGGCAGCAGUGGGGAAUUUUGGACAAUGGGGGCAACCCUGAUCCAGCCAUCCCGCGUGCGGGAAGAAGGCCUUCGGGUUUUAAACCGCUUUUGUUCGGGAAGAAAUGCUCUGGGCUAAUACCCCGGGGGGAUGACGGUACCGGAAGAAUAAGCACCGGCUAACUACGUG